AUGAAUUCUUGGGAAAAGCUCUGUCGUCACCAUCAAGGCCCCAAGUGGAGCUGGGCCCUGAGCCCACCGUGUUCUUUGAUGCCACCCAUCCUUGGAGGCUUACUGCAAGCUCCACCCCUCUGUGAAGCUUCCUCUGCUGCCCAGCACUGCCUGGUGUCUCAGGGUCCCUGCACUCACGGGUCCCCACAGCGAGCCCCAGAGGUGUGGGAGCGCCUCGAGCCGCAGACUCUGCCUUCUACCUCUCCUGGUUUCACUUGGUGUCGCCAGCAUCAUGUCUUCUACAUGACAGAAACUCAAUAAACACUACAAACCCACAUGCCUGGAGUGGGAAAGGACCUUCGAGAUCAAGUGGCCCAGUGGGUUUCUAACAUUUUGUUUUUAAAAAGUGGAGAGAACACUUUGUUCUUUUCAAAUGAACUAUUAUGAAGUCUCCUCCCCUGUGGAAAGCAGAUAAGAAACGAGCUUCCUGAUUGAGGAGAGGGCAGAGGGCUGGAAGCCCCAUGUCUGAUCUUUCUCUACCCCACUCAGCUCCCUGAGGCAGCGCUUGAAAAAUGACUGAUCUGUUCAGACCCUUCACUUUAUACACAACGAUGCUGAGGGCCAGACAAACACAGUGACCCCACUAGGUUCACACUUAUAUCAGUUGCAAAUUUGGGAGGAGAACUAGGAUCUCCAAAGUAUUUCCUGAGUGACCUGCCCAAUUUAUGAUAUGGCUUUACUUUUGUCUGAAAGAAGGAAGGGAGGAAAGAAGGAAGGAAGGGAAGGAAGGAGGAUAGGUAGGAAGGAAGGAAGGGCAGGAAAGAAGCAAAUAGUGGGGAGAAAGGAAAUAAAGAAAAACAUGGAAAUUCAAUACGUUCUGGAUGAGUUUAAUGUUCUCUUUGACCCCAACAUCAACACAGCCUUACACCUGGUGUAGCAGAACCCCUGCACUCCCCCCAAAUCCCAAUGUUAUGUGUUGUAAAGAGGAUCUUCAGAAAGGGAGUUUAAGGAACCAUAUCAAUGAUUAAUUCAGUUACUUAUUAAGAUUCCAUUCUGCCUAUCAACUUUGAAUUUUUACAGUGAGGAGUUUCCAGUUAUAGGGCAGUUUGAGUGAGCUAGGCGGCUUACCCUUAGGGGACGCAGAGGAGGGCAAUGCAGAGCAGACCCUGCUUAAUUUCCAAGAAUGAACCUUCUCGGUUAAAUCCUUCUUGCUCUGGGUCCUGUUUGCUGCCACUGGCAGUUUCUCCACCCCAGGAGGGUGCCCCCUUGUGGCUUUGCCCAGCCCUGCCUUCACAGGCCCCAUCCGUGGGGAGGGGGGCAGGUGAGCUGGGAGGGAGCCGCCCCCCCCCCCCCCCCCCACGUUGGUAGGGUCCUUCCUUUUGUUUCCUCUCUGCCUCCCCUUGACUCCGCUGGUACUCCCUUUCCCAGACUACUUCAUGAGAAAACAGAGGCUCAGAACGAUGAAAGGCUCCUCCCAAGGCCAACCUGGAGAGUUAAUAUUAGUCAAGCUCAGUACUCAGGUGUUUGGAUAGCAAAUUUACAUUCUGUCCACACUCUCCAUAAUCAUUCCAUAAAAUGGAUUUUAACUCAGUGAUGCUACAGUUAGUAUGACAAGGCAGUUACUUUAAGAUCAUAAUAUCCAGAAGCUGUAGUUGUAUCAAAAGUACUUGAAAACUCUUCCAUUUUCAAUCAAUCAUUUACUCAUUGGACAAAUAUUUAUUGACAAGUCAUCUAGUGCCACAAGUGUUGUGGUGCUGGGCACACACCACUAGGUACUUUAACACUCCUGUGAGUGAAACACUAAUCCUGUUCAGCUAACAUGUCCCUCUCAACUCUCAACCUAUCCCAGGAGAAGUCUGUCAUGAUUAAUGUGGUUCUUAUUGCUUUCUUAUUAGGUUUCAAGAGAAUCACUGAAUCUGGUGCUUGUGUUUCAAUUUUUGAUAAAUUGGGGAACAGAGGAAAGAAGGGGGCCUUAAUGGGUAGGAAUAAAAGCAUUUAUUAACAUAUCAAUUAACGUUUUAAUGGAUAGCAACGGCUAUAUUAGUAGCUAUCUCAAUGUCAAGUAAGCAGUAGGAAGUUUGCAGCAGUUACUUCAUGGGUGGGUUUCCAUCUAAGUCUUGAGGGCGUGGGUUGAGCUUUAUUCAUCUUUGUAUCACCCAUAGAAUCUAGCCUUGCACAUCACAGAUGUGCAAAAAAUUUGCUGACUCGUAUGCUUCCCAAUAUCACUAUUUGCUCAACAAGUAAUAUAGGCCAGGUACCCCUUAGAACUCUCACCUAAAACAUCUACAGCAAAUUUUUAACAAGGCGAGUUCAUCUCCAAGGCCAGAUUUACAUUUAUCAGAGUAGAUGUUUACCUCCAUGGAUCAUCCUUGGGAAAGGUCUUUUUUUUUUUUUUUUUUUCUUUCCGUCUCUGGCUGAUAUUAGUAUGAUUAGGACUGACUUUUUUAGUUCUAGAGAUGAAACCAGGGUCUGCAGCGUAGAAAGGGGAGGACACCUACCCAAGGAAGGACAUGAAGGGUUAUAGGUUUUCACCACUCCAGGGCAGAUCACUGUAUAGAGGUGGAGCUGUUCUCUUAGUCUGUGGCACCCCCAUGGAGACUGGGUCCAUCCUCAGCUGGUCAAAGGAGAAACUUCUCUCAACACAGGUCUGAGUAGGUACAGUGAGAAUGGCACAGACCAGAUAAGCAUUUCAUUCUUUUCACCAUCAGAAACCCAGGGCCAGACAAUAUAGACCCAAGUCACUCAUCAAUUAUUUGCACAUAUGUGGGUAAGAUCUAAACACUCAUACCCUUCCACCUUUGCGUCUGGGGCUAAACUCAAACUGCUGUUACUGUAAUUAAAUUUAUCACAGUGAACUCUUGUGAGUCCUAGAGGCCCUGACUAAUUUGGAGAUGAGGUUAUAACUCAAAGAAAAGUAGUACCAUUACAUAGUGGUAUUAUAAAAUGUGCUUUGUCUAUUGUGUGCAUCCCUCCUAUGUAUUCCAACCCACCCCACCAGCACCUUAUCAGUGCAAUGAUGCUGGAAAUUCCUUUCCUAGAGAGUUAGUGAUAAGGCUUAAAGUAGAGGUUACUACAGGAAAGAGAACAUAAUGAUUUAUGUUUGCACUGGGGGAGAAAUGACAGGUUUGAGAGUUUUUCUUCAAGUAGGUUUUGACCCAGAGACAUACAGAGAGAGAAGUAAAGAUUGGGUGGUAUGGAAGGUGAGUAUGUGCCUCAGCCUACUUGUUUGUAAUAGAGACCUGGUGUUUGCUACCAGUUGGCUACACUGACCUCUACCGUGGCUCCAUGAUACGAGCUUUCAGGGCAUCAGCAGGGCUGAGCUGCAGCCAUCACUGGGCACGUAACUGGGCACCACAUAGGCGAAUGAUAAGUUUCCAGGGGCCGUCUUCACUGAACCCUGGUCAACAGGGGUCCCUCAAAGAGGCACUUUUUCUGAUCACAGCCCAGAGUAGACAGAGCUUUGGUAAUGGAUUUACCUAAAAGUUACUGACAGAAAAGUACUUGGAAGUAUUCUGAACUAGACAUGGCCCUCACUGUUGAGAAAUGAUGUCUGGGAAUUCCCCUCUGCCUCCCCCACCCUUCCAGCCCACCACCCUCUCCAGUAAUGGCCUUGUGAUCUCAUCCUCCAAGACAAACUCUGAAAGCAUAGUGAACCCGAUGUAUGUAAAUCUUGUGCCCGAGCCAGACUCUCCCAGAGAGCCUGCCCUGAAGAAAAUCUAUUGCCCUAAUCAAUUACCAAACUUCCAAAUGAAAUAGAUUGUUCUCUGUUGCUGGAAGACUAUGAAGCUGUCAUUUUUCUUGGUAAUGAGCAAUAGUGCAGAGGGGGGAAUUGCACUUUGUCUAUGGCACUGGACGAAGGGUUCCAGUAAGCAGGGCCUGACCAGGAAAGCUGGGAGUUACCUGCCAAAAUGAUGGAAAGGUAUCUGGAAACUUCUCUCACUCCUAAAUGUACUCCAACAAAUUUCCCUUGACUGUUUGAUAUGGAUCAGGCAGUUUGCUGGGUGCAGGAGGUAUAAAACUAAGAAAGGACCCUUCCUCCGGGUCUGGGAAUCUCCUUGUCUGGCUUUGCUUUCCUGUUCCCCACUCCUUCCUUGCUGGCACAGUUCACCCCAAUUCCUGAGCUACCCCUGGUGAGGAUAAGAACUCAUUUAGGGUUCUCACCUGCAUCAUCUGACAGACACUGGAAUUGGUCUGUUGCCCAGGGAUGCUCUGUGCACACUGGCACAUAAUGUCCAAACACUUAUCUUUCUCCUGAAAUGUGCUCCUCUACAAGCCUCUGGGUGUUGGGGGCAAACCCUCUAAAUAGUUCUCCUGCCUCAGUUUACUUUCCCAGCCUCCUAAUUCCCCUAUGGGCUUGAAAGAGCAUCUCAAACUUUAGUCUGCUAGGCUGGGCUCUUGCUAGGUUCAUUCUCUGAGAACUGAGAGCCUAUUUUUCUACCUCCCUCUUCCCAGGAGGGCCCUGCCAUGAGUAGACUGAUGCCACAGCCUACUUGUCUUCAAAUACUAUGUGUCCCUUAGGCAUUUCCCAAAGUAAUGCUUUACCUACCAAGGUGAACCCUCUGAUACACAGAUGGAGGCCUGACCCCCUGCGUGAUAUCAUCCCACCCCUUGGAUUCUGUACUCUUGUUCCAAGGCAGUGCUUUUGAUGAGCUCCAUUUCAGGGGUAGUACUUAACAUGAGUGGGAGAAUUUUUACUGGUAGCACUUUAGUGGUAGCACUUUAUUGGGGCACUUGGAUUAGGUCCCUCAUUUUCCCUACAUAUUUCCAACUGCCUUCUUGUUGAAGCUUGUAUCCCUGAAAUCUCAGCUUGUCCUGCUAGUUGUUCCUGGGUAUGGCACUUACUCACCUGGUGUUCACCUUCUGGAUGGAAAGACAACCAGAUACUUAACAGAUAAAAAUGAACCAUUGUGAUCAGGCAAUAAUAAA
rnacentral:lncRNA from 1 species